UUGAACGCUGGCGGCAUGCUUUACACAUGCAAGUCGAACGGUAACAGGGAGCUUGCUCCGCUGACGAGUGGCGAACGGGUGAGUAAUGCAUCGGAACGUACCCAGUCGUGGGGGAUAACGUAGCGAAAGUUACGCUAAUACCGCAUAUGCCCUGAGGGGGAAAGUGGGGGAUCGCAAGACCUCACGCUUUCGGAGUGGCCGAUAUCGGAUUAGCUAGUUGGUGGGGUAAAGGCCCACCAAGGCGACGAUCCGUAGCUGGUCUGAGAGGACGACCAGCCACACUGGGACUGAGACACGGCCCAGACUCCUACGGGAGGCAGCAGUGGGGAAUUUUGGACAAUGGGGGCAACCCUGAUCCAGCCAUGCCGCGUGAGUGAAGAAGGCCUUCGGGUUGUAAAGCUCUUUCGGACGGAAAGAAACGGUCACGGCCAAUACCCGUGGCUAAUGACGGUACCGUCAGAAGAAGCACCGGCUAACUACGU
rnacentral:rRNA from 1 species